rnacentral:misc_RNA from 1 species
GUGAAUCAUCAAAUUUUUGAACGCAAAUUGCACUCUCUUCUGAGAGUACGCCUGUUUGAGGGUCAGCCUAAAAAAAAUCGACAUAGUUGCUGUUUCUCGGUUACCUUCUUCGGAAAUUGGGUCAUCUUAAACCUUUGUGUUUUAAGCGGCUUAAAAUUUUCUUUACGAUUCCACGAACGUUUCUAAGAUUUUACUUCUUACACGUUUAAUGUAUCGAUCUUUAUUAGACUUGUCUGUGUCAUCGUAUAUCGUCCAUAAAUAUUUCUUUAACUUACCUUAGAUAGGUAAG